UGAUGAUGUGAAGUGAUAUUGAUAGAGA
rnacentral:sRNA from 1 species